rnacentral:misc_RNA from 1 species
GAAAUGCGAUAAGUAAUGUGAAUUGCAGAAUUCAGUGAAUCAUCGAAUCUUUGAACGCACAUUGCGCCCGCCAGUAUUCUGGCGGGCAUGCCUGUUCGAGCGUCAUUACAACCCUCAGGCCCCCGGGCCUGGCGUUGGGGAUCGGCGGAAGCCCCCUGCGGGCACAACGCCGUCCCCCAAAUACAGUGGCGGUCCCGCCGCAGCUUCCAUUGCGUAGUAGCAUACAUCUCGCUCUGGGCGUGCUGCGGGUUCCGGCCGUUAAACCACCUUCGUAACCCAAGGUUGACCUCGGAUCAGGUAGGAAGACCCGCUGAACUUAAGC